rnacentral:rRNA from 1 species
AUGCCUCCGAGCGCCGGCGAGGUGGCGCGGCCGCAGAGCCCACUCCGCGCCAUGAUGCCGCAGAGCCCGCUCCGGAUCAAGCAGGGCGGCAAGUUCUACGAGCGGCUGCUCACCAAGGAGAGCUCGGGGGCCAACCCGUCGUUCCGGUACUACGGGUCCGAGCCGGGCUCGGUGCCGUUCGUCUGGGAGUCGGAGCCCGGCACGCCCAGGGACGCCUCGCGGAUGAAGGCGCCUGAGCAGCAUCAGCACGGACGCCACGACGACCAGGUUCCCGCGGCGAAGAGCAGCGCCGUGGUGUGCUCCGGGCCGCGUCAGAUGAGCCCGUGCUGGAUGCUGCCGUUUCGCGGCACGGGCAACCGGAACCGCGACUGCGACUAG